UUACUGCACAUUCUUCUGUUAGCUCUGUGGUUAACUUCUGAGUGCUAAAGUAGUUACCAAAUCCAAAGACUGGACUAUUUUCUCCUGGGUUUUCUAGGUUCUUUGACAUACAGAGAAAACGUCUUAUUAUCUAUACUGGUAAAGAGGGAUCUUGUGUUCAACAUACAUGAGUAUCCUUAAGUGGGCAUUCCCUAGCUAAGAUGACAAGUAAAUCUUGGCAUGACUUGCAUUACUCAUAUGCAAUUGCAGCAGUUUUGUGUGUCUGGUUGACCUGUACGUAAAGCCAGCCAACACUCUGAGACAUCAGACUAAAGCAGUCGUAAAACAGUGGGCUUCAUUCUCUGUUGAAGUUCCCCCAGUCCCGCUGGCAGCAAAAAGAAGCCCUUCAAGAAAGGUAAGCCAUUUUAUGCUUUGGUCCUUUGCUGAAGGGAGGCUGGUUGCAGAAGAGAAUCUGUCACAGCAGCUCAGGCUUGAGCAGGUAAGUGAAAGCAGAGAAGGAGCAAAAACAGAUGGAAAAGAGAAGAUAGAAAACUUGGUACUACAGUAAUAGCCAGAGGGCCCUGCCGAGGCCAGUGCUCUGCUUUGCUGGGAAUGAGAUUCAGCCGGGACAAUCUGAUUCUCUUUUUCAGCUGAGAAGUCCCCAAACACACUCAGGGACAAAGAUCAGGCUGACCAGGUAAAUUAAACCCAGAGAUCGCCAGGUGUAGUGCCAACGAUGGGCACCCAUACCCGGCUGGGGGCCGCUACAUAUAUAAUGUAUAUGUCACUCUGCGAUUUCGGGCAGGAACGGAGACUAAAGGUGCGGGGCUGCCGGUACCCCCAUCCCCGCAGGAACCAAGCGCCCAGGGCGACGGCGGCUCCGUCCCGCGGCAGCUGCGGGGCCGGGAGGAGGCGGCGGGGGUGGCGGCUCCGUCGCACGGCUGCGGCGAUCCGCGCCCGCCCUCUGCCGGCACCGGCAGCGCCCGGCCCGCCGGGGAGCCGGGCUCCGGCUGCCUGGGUCGGCCAAGAGCCGAGCGCCCGGGGAAGCUGCUGGAGGGGGGUGGACAACGUCGGUCUAGUGUGGAAAAUAACGGUGUUGUUUCAGAACGUUAAGAAUGGAAUAAUAUAUUUUUUAUUUCUUUUUUUUUUUUUUCUUUGCUUCCAAAAAUUCAACUCGAGCUACUUCACACCUGUUGAAAUUACUGGACGUAGUUUCUUUUUGAAACCUUUACAAUUUUAAAAGCCUCUUCAGUAAUAAUUUGGGUGAUAUUUUUAAAAUAAGGAAGAAUGCCUGAAAGAGAUUUUCUCCCUCCAGCCAAAUGGGAAGCAGUAGCAGUAUUCAAGCCCAGCUCCUAGCAAUGAAAGAGAAAAGUGAAUUAAAUGCAAAACAUCUACCAGCCAGCAGUAAGACCAGCCCCUUUUAAGUACUGAAAGGCUGCUAUAAGGUCUCCACAGAGCCCUCUCUUCUCCAGGCUGGACAAUCCCAACUCUUUCAGCCUGUCCUGAAAGGAAAAAGCAUAGGAGAUGAAGGCACAGAUGUUGUCUUGGUGCAAUGGGGAAGGCUUUUGCUCCCGCGAUGGAGAGCUUGCAGUCAUGGACAAGGCCAGGAGCACAAGGCAGGGAGUCUGCGCUCUCUCCACAGCAACAUCAUCAUCCAUGCAAAGUAACCAUGACAGUGUCCAGAAUGCCAUUGCGUGCUGCACAGAAGGGAUUACAGGACAAGUGUAAAGGAGGACUGGUGAUGGAGAGAGGUGAGACAACAACAGUGAAGGUGCAGGAGUUGGGAAGGGGGAAAGCAGGAGUGUCCACUGCAAACAGCAGCUUGCAGGGAGCCCUGCUGGACAGAGGCAGGAGAGGAGAGAGGCCAUCUGCUCAGGUUGAGUUGGAAACUCUGAUCACACUGUGCAAUCUGGUUGGAAAUGGCAGCUGACCUAACCUGGCUAGGAACUGAAGAUGAACCCAUGCUCUCCUUGAUGAUGUGAGGGACCUGGUGGCUGCUCUUGACACAGGGAAGCUACUCUUCCAGAAGACUGGCCCUGCUGUAGAUAUCUGUCCUCGAUCACCUCCGCCCAGGCUGAGGGAAUUUCGUGGAUCUGCCAGAGGUGGCUGGAAGACACCAUGAAGAGCCUCUUGCUGCAGCCAACCUCCCACUGACUCAUCUCCCCAACAGGGCCAGGGCCAUGGGACGUGCUUACCAGGGAGGUGCAGCCUUACACUGGAGAGGCAGGAGCUGUUCUAGGAGACACCUAUGACUCCUUUGGCCAGCAGACCCAUCUGGGACCUACAAGCUCCAGGCUCGGCUUCUGCCUCUGCCACAGGCUUUCUGGGUGCCUUUGGGCAAACAGCUCACUGGCCCCUGCAAAAUGGAAAUAAUGAGUAUCAACUCCUCCCUCUCAUUUGUCUGCUCAAGCGAUUUGCAAACUCAGGCUGGGUUUUGCUCCCUGUCUCUCUGUGCUCCAUGCGGGGGAUCCCGAGGGCAUCGCCGCAGGACAAAACAGCGAGAACAACAAUAACUGCGCAGUCCUGGCACAGGAUGGGGGACGAUUGUUUUCAGCCUCAGCAGCCCGCAAGUGUUGGUAGAAAUGACAGAUACAAUUGGGCCUCAGGGUUUUUUCACAUUUAUAUGUCUGGGGAAGGACCUCAGUGGCUGUUCUCAGCCACUCUGUUGAACUGAAGCUAAAGAUUUGGUCAGGUGGGGGAGUGAGCAAGAGAAAGGCAUUCAGUUGCCAUGGAAAGAAACAUGUAUAACUCCUAUAAAUGCUUUGUGUCUUCUUCAAAGAUCCUACUGGAAAUGCAGCUUAUUCUCUGACCAACAUGUUUUCUUUGCAGAAGGCAGAAACUGACGUCUUUUUCUUUUUUCUUUUUUUCUUUUAAUCUGCAGCAGCAGUCUGUACCUAUGUUUUCUUCGCCUGAAAUGCCUGUAAGUUCAAUCAGCUGAAAUGGCUUAAAGGUGGCAAGGGAUGGGGCAAGUUCACAUUGCUCUAAUAGGACCUUGUGACAAAACCCAGCCUCACUGAUGUAACUGGAGCAUUUUCUUCAGAUCUGGGCUGAUUUGUGAAGGAUGAAGCAGGAAAGAAGGAAAUACUUAACCUUUCCAGUAGAAAAUACCAUGGGAAGCAGAGAAACUAAGACAACAUUCCUCUAAAGCCCCAUCACAGAGUUGUCGCCAAAUCUGCAUAAAGUUCUUUCUCUUCCCACUGCCUUUAUAAGAGUAUAAAAAAGGCAUUUCUGAAAUUUUGCUGGUGUUGGACUUUGGAAAAAAACCCAAACAAACAAACCCCUGCAACAGCUAAGCACUGUUAUUUAAUAGAUCUUUAAAUGCUAACCAGCAACUUUGAAUCACAAAAAAAAGUUGAUAACGGUUGUCAAAAUUCAGCAUUAACAAUUUGAAACAGAUGCCAGACCUACCUGCAUUCAGAUUUAUGUGCUAUGAAUGGGUUUAUUGGAGGGAACGGUGGCGGCACCUGCCAGUUAUCAUGAAAAAGGUCUGAACAUUCAAUUUGUGGAGCCAUUUCUUCAGUGCAGUCUGAGACACAGCUCAGUGCUUCUUCCAGCCUCAUCUUCAAUGCACUGUGGAGCACAUUGUACUGAGGAAUCUGACGGCCCUGGGCAGAUGGAGCGGUGAUGUCAUCGGGCUUUUCCAUUUCUACUUCCUACGAACAUUUGCCUUAUUCUUACAUCCCAGCUCUUUCUUGACAUGUUUUAGACUAGAAACAUUUUUCUUUUUUUUAGGUGCAGAGAAGGAAUCACUUCUUUUUAAUUUCAGACAAGAUCUGGCAAGUGAGCUCUUGUUGCUAGUCAAAGAAAAAGCCUUAAAAAAAUUAACACAGAAUCUGUGUUUAGGAAAGUGAUUUGCAUAAGCCGUACACUCGGUUCUUAGAGUUGGAACAGUUCUAACCUAUGACAAAUUCCUCUGUCUGGGCUGUCUUCCAAAAUCAUUUUCAUCUACCCUGGCAAAAGAACUGAAGUCUGCGUUCUGCACUAAUUAACGGCCUUCAGGAGAAGGGCCCCAGUUGAAAUGCUGACACACUUUGUACACACUUUAUUUGUGAAAGGGGAUACUGAGCCCAUUUGAUGGCGCCUCCUGCUCCAUCAUGCCAUGCAAAAUUUUAAGUGGGUAAGCAAAAUGGGUACAGUUAUGUCUUGUUAAGAUUCUGAGUUGCUAAAACACUGCAGUUUUCCUUAUUUAAAAGCAUGAUAUUGGGAAUUUUUAAUCUUUUAAUAUCAUUAAUAAGCAUUAAAAAGACUAGAAUCAUGGCAGUUCCUUAGUGACAUUCACUACUUUUAUGGAGCAUUCUGGCUUAAUGCAGCUGAGUCUUUGUCUCACUAAAUGUCUUAGUUUUGGAAACAGUAGAAUGUACACCCAACAUCCCUUUCACAUAAAACUGGAAACUGCUGAAAAGGGAAGGCAGAUAAAACAGCUGUCCUGAUAACUCUGUGGAAUCCUUCUAGCAGGUCUACCCAGUCCCAUAAGGAAGCUUUCUGUGCUAGAUCCAUGAAGAUUCAUAGCUUUUAGGCACCCAAAGCAUUCAGUCAGAGUCCUUGGUUGAGCAAGGCACCCAGAAAAUACAUGUGUAGAGUCAGGCAUACCAAAACACAGCACCCUAAAAAGCUAAGGGAGACACCCCUGUGUUGUCACUAAUAAAUGGGAGAUGACAUAAUGUUAGUCUUCUGUGGAAGAGCAUCCAUCCCUGUUUGGACCUCUCACCAACAAGCUUUCUUCUGGAGCUUUGUGUUUGAGCCAAGAGAGUUCCUACUUGCAAGGUACAACCUUCUACAAGAGGAACAGCCUACGCCAGGUCCAGAUUCAGUCCCCGCUCCGUGUGAUAUGAUUACUGCCUUUGCACUGAACAUCCAACCACAGAGCUACCUGUGGAAGGGAGGCUGUCUUAGUAUCUUCUUCUGAGGUUGUUGACCUGAGUAUUUACCAUCUGCUUUGGAGAAAUAAAAACACAUGUGCUUGGACUGAAGGGAUGCUGGAUGCUAACUAUUUCAUCCAAGUGCCCAUCAUGAGGCAAGGAAAGAAACUCCUUUUCUGGCUUCUGUGUGUGGAGCCUCACCUAGGAAGCAUGCUCUGAAAACAUUGAUUAUGCUCAACUCUGCAACUGAACCACAUGGAGAGCUCCUGUGGAGACUAAUAGAGCUUAACCAGGGCUCAAUGCACUCACCCUGGAUAGGGAAAGGAGUGAGGUACAUCUAUCCAGCAGCAGAUGUUCAGAUGCUUAGUGACCUGUGGGAGAACACUUGGUAGAUGCAAGGACAUUUAGGCAGCUGCAUGGUGUUCAGGGAAUUUAAGGAAUCCUAGCUCUUAUGUCUUAGGCUUUUCUCCUUUCUCCUUUGUGGUGAGUGCAGAAAAAGAAAAAAAGGAAGAACAGGAGGAUUUCUCUCUUAGAUAUUCUCAUAGCUUUUCUGUCCUCGGUAAACUAUUUCAUAGUGAAGCAGGAAUGCACUGACAUUAUAGCCACCAAGAAAGAUCCAGGAUUUUUGCUAGCAAAUAAACUAGCAAACAUAAUCAACAUUCUUUGUGAAUCCUCAUCAUUGCCUUAGGAGGAGGAAUUUCAAGUCUAUUUUCUACGAACCUUAAAUGUGAAGUUUCCGCAAGCACAAAUGCUCCAAUAUUUUCUCUUCUUCUUGGGUACAGAGGACAAUUCUGUCUUGUUUGUGUCCCUAAAAGUAUUGACUGUGUUAAACACUAGGCACGUGCUUUCAAAAGAAAAGCACCAUGAAUGCUUACAUGUCCCUGUAUUAUCAGCCACGUGCUUCAUCACUGGGAGACAAACAGUCCACUGAAAUGUGGCUGGCCUGGACGUUCCACAUACCAAGCAGAUGCAAGCAGAAUGCCAUAGGGAAAUAAGAAACACAUUGUAUGUGAUUUAAAAGGCUUACAGCUAUGGAAUAUCCUUCUGAAAGCCUAAUGAAUAUCUCCAACACAUACGCAAUCGAAAUACAAAACGCGCCCUGCGUCAAAAUAUAAAACCUCGGAACUGGAGAUAAUCUCUGAAGAGACCCACAAAAUAAAUCUACUGACAACAGCACCUAUAAUCAGACAAACCCAGCAUUUGGCUUGUCAAAAUGUCUCCAAGCUCAGGAUUUUCUGUGGAGAGGAAACUAUCCACAGAGAUUCUUUCUUGGUUUUAUGCCUUCGGUUUGCCACUCAAAUAAGCUUGUGUGCUGGGCUUGGGGAUUUUCUUUGUUUUGCUUUCCUAGAUGCUAGUAUGGUCCAGACUGACUUUGACAAAAUUACAGAUUAUAAAUUUAGCUUUCUUUCCACAGAUCUGGAAAAGGACCAUUUAAACAUGCACUUGUUCAAGCGACUGAAAAUUGAGGCUUUUUUUUAACCUGUUGACUGUGGAAGUGAUAAUACCCUACAUUUACAUCCAGCAAGGAGAAUAUUUAGGAAGAAGGAGAAGGGAGAGGGGAAAAUCUCUCAGGGUUAAUCUUGUAAAGGUGCUUUUUUGUUUGGACCUCCCUGGUUAUUUCACACAUGAGCUCUUGGAAGUAUGCCUGCAGUUUCCAUCAAAAGCUGAGGUGGCAAAGGUGGCAAAGGCAAGGUGAAAGAGGUUAAGAACAUAAUUUCACCCCUCAUUCUCAAAGGGAAACACAUCUCUGAGAUAAUUUAUUCUAGAAAUGUGUUAAUUCCUGAGUUUUCCCAGUUGCUGUAAUAAGUGGAGGAAUGGCUGGUGUUACCGCUGUAUUGUGAGGUGAGAAGCAGGGUUAAGCAGGCCAGGUUCCGUCACUUUUUGUCAACAAGACUGGUUGUAACAAGAGCUCAGAGCAUCUACUCUGUGAUUAAACAAGAUGAACUCAAGGUAAUUAAAUAGCAUAUGUUGUGUUGUUUCUUCUUGUCCCUAUGUCACACACCUUACAUAAAGGAGCUAUGACACACCUUAAGGAGCAGAAAGUGUUCAGACUCUUCUCCUCCAGAGAGCGCAAAAAGCUUACAAACACACUCAAAAAGCAGUGGACAAGUUCAGCUUUGAGAACAGACUCAGCCUUGCGCAUACGGUGCACCAAGUGUAUCAAGGCUUUGAAGCAAAAGCAGAAAUGGCACAGCACAUUUACACAGAAAUCCCAGGAGGUGCCUCAACUUUGGGUAUAAAGUUCUGGGAAAAGGUGUGGGAAGACACCACCAUACAAUAAUAACACAAAAACUCUGCCUACCAUUCCCCAGGUUGGUCUUGCAUGGACAGAUGAUCAAGACUGCCAAGAACAAAAUAUGUACUUUCACAUACAAAAAGAACAAGUAACAGAUAUGAUAGACAGAAACUAGGCUGAGACUCAGGAGACCAAGCUGAGAGAGUUCACUAAUUUCUGCCACUGACCUGCUGUAGGACCUUGGGAAAUUAAUUUUGCUUCUCUUUCUUGCCCACUCAUAGUAUAUUUUCAGGGUGGGGACUGCCUGUUGCUACCAUUUUAACUGUACAAUGGGAACUCAGUCUUAGUUCAGGCUGUUGGUGCUACUGCAAUUGAAAUAAUAACAUGUAAAGAUAGAUUAUAAUAAAUAAUCAAAUCAAUUGGUGGAAGAGUGCAGAUGGGAGUGAAAAGAGAUAUGGGUAACAGAAUAUGAAUGAGCAGAAAAGAUAGGGAGAAAAAAUGGCCUGAAAGGAAGAAAGUGAAAAAAGGGAAUAAACAAAUGGUAGAAGAGAAGUUGAACACAGACAGACACUGAUCAUUCUGAGAUCAGCUGGUGCAUGUAGUUUCCUGCCAUUCAGAUGGAAAAAAAACAAAGUUUUCCCUUGGCCCCAGUAAGAGAACUAGUGCUAAUACCAUCCUGCCUGUCACCAGCUGUCUGCCAACCCUGGUUCCCUGUUUGUGAACUCCUAAAGAGCAUUUAGUGAUUUGAACUUGUAAGAUACUUGGUUAAAGGCAGUGGAAUCCCUCCUUAAAGACCCAGCACAACUAUAAGACAAGGACAGUUGCCAGCAUUUAUUAGUCCUCCGGGGGCCAUCUUUGACCUGUGCUAAUGUAAUCCUGCUUAAAACCUUCUGGCAUACCUGGGACCUGACUGUCUACAACAAAACACCGGUCUGAAAUAUUUACAGAUUAAGAUAAAAUUAUAAUAUAAUUUCCAGCCAUUUUUAGAGGAAGUCUUCAGCUUUACUCGUGACUACGUGAUACAAAGUCUCUAAAAGGCUACCAGUGACAGCUAAGUAGCUCAGAAUAUUAUGAUAGAAGGUGAAGUCUAUGGAGACAGUCAAAGCCAAUGCUUUUUAAAGUCGAUUGAAAGAUUUCUCUGUCUCUCUGAGUGUUGAAUUGAUCCGUGAGAGACUGAAUGAGAUCCAAUUGAGGCCCACAGUUACCAGAAGUUGCUACCAACCAAUGGCUAUUUAGUGAGUCACAUUAAGCAAAAAGAUGGCUGCAGUAACGUGCUCAGUGACCAAAGGCUGUGGACACAAAAUAUUUUUCAUUCUUUGUAGUGUUCUGGGGUCAGAAGACCAGGAAGAAAAGGGCAUGAAGGCAAUAAUAAUGAAUUUAUCAGUCUACACAUGACACUCACCGAGAGGUCUAGAGGAGCAGUCAGAUGAAUGCAAACCCCAUCCUGUUCUCUAAAAGGUAUUUGGUCCACAGGGCUGCAGGCUAAAGUCACCAUGUCUGUCAGGCUGACUCUCUUUACCCUCAGUAAACUGUUGAUUUAAACCAAAAAUCCAAGAAUUGACCUACCCCCACAACACUGCCAAAUACAACUGAGAUGUCUUAGAAUCUGCUCUCACUGUGUCUUUUGUGUAAAAUGUUUCCUAAGAUGUCUCUGUGUGGCUAUUAGCUAUUGUAGUUGCUGUGCCACUAAACUCUUUUAAAUGGCAAGUCAAAGUGUCUACUUGAGAUCCCUCCUAAAAUCCUCUUUCGUUAUGAAUGACUCUCAAGCUAAACCUGGAAAACAAACAAACAAAUAAUAAUGAAACUGCUAAGGAAUGGGUAAUAUUCCUUUCUUUCACGCUCACUGAAAAUAACUCAGAAUCAUAUAUUUAAGGGACCACAGAUUUCUGGUCAACCUGAAAGAAGACACUGGAAUGAAAACUGGUGAAGACAAAGGAUCAACAUGGUGAUUAUUCAGCCAUUGCAAGUCUUUCAGGGGAAAGUUAAACUAAACACUAGGACACAUUUUCUAUUGGUGAGGAUGGUUUAUAGAAGAGGACAGAAUACACUGCCUAGAGAAAUCAUGGAAUUUUUAAUUUUGGAGACUUUUAAGCAGAGACGAGGCAAAUGUUUGCUAGGAACAAUUUAGGUAGCACCGAUGCUAUGGUGGAGCAGGGGAAUAGACCAGAAGACCUUUUCAGGUCUCCUGUAAAUUUAUCUUCUUUGAUUCUAUGCCUACAAACAGAAAGGAGCAUUAGCCCAGAACAUGCUAAACUUGGGAAGGUGUGCAAUAAUGUUUUAAAUCUAUUUAUAUACAAACUAAAGUUUAAGAAAAUAUACAUAUGAAGUGAUGAACUGCAAAUGAGAGAUGACAGAGAAGUAAAACAUGGGUAUUUGAAAUGCGGGCUGAAAAUAAAACAGGGUUCAGCUCAGAAAAUGCAUGUUAACAUACUUGGGAAAAUAUAAUCUGAAAUACUACCCUCAGUGGGUAAGCAAAGCCUGAAAAUCAUUUAUGUUACAAAGGAGUCUUCUGGCUGACUGAGUAGAGUGAAUUAGAUUGGUGUGUUUAAAGCACCACCAUAAUGGAUGCAGCUCAGCUAAGACUUUAAAAUUCAGGUUUGCUGCUGCUGCAACUGAGGCACACAAAUAAAUCCCCCAGCACUCAUGGUAACAGUCUACCAUCUGAUUUAUACUGCCAUUGAAAAUUUGGCUUAAGUGUUUAGAAAUUAAGCUGACCACCUGCCCUAGGAAAUAGCUUUGGUGUUGAGUAUCCAAAGCUUCACCUGGAGACCAACAGGUGGCUCUAGAGAUAUGGCCUGAUGAUGAAUUGGCUGAACACUGUUUUCCAACAGAGUGAGUAAGGCAACAGGCACCCUUUUACCCAUCCCCAGUUUAUGCAUAGUAAGGAAGUCUGAGCAAGGUCUUAAUCCACUGACAUUAAUAAACAGUAAAAUUAAUCUUGCUGGGUUCUGUGGACACAGAAUUGUACCAAUACUGGAUAUUCAAAAAUUCUGAGAUUAGCUGGAAGAAACAACUAGGCAAGUAAGUGUGAAAGAGUUCAGGUGAUGAGAUAAAUCAUAGAAGUGAGCAUGGGUUAAAACCACCAUGAAUGCAGAUAUUUACAAUCUCUCAGUUUUUCAAUUCUUACAAACUAUUAGUCUCUUUUACCUGCCUUGGCUACAAGCCAUCCCUAUCUGUCUGUUCAAAAGGAAAUCUAAAGCCAUUGAGGAAAAUUCCUUCUCCACUCGAUAGAAGCAAUCAAAUCAAACUCCAGGUCCUUGCUUAUGUGAGGAACUUUAGAAUGUAGGUAGACAGAGAUGACAGAAACACUACACCCCACUCGGUAUACUCUUGGCAGCACCUUUUUACCUAGUUACAGAGAAAAGCAACAUAUUAAUUUCAGAGACUUAUAUUUUCUCAGAAUCUAUAAGCAAUAAUUUUGUUUUAGAUGUUUUCUUUAACACGAAGUUCCAUUCUGUCAGUGGCAUACACAACAGCUCCUGCCAUAAGGACAAGUCCAAGCACGCUACGAGUUCAUGAAAGACCUUAUGUCAGCUGGUGGAAGCAAUGGGAAAGUCUGCGUUUGCUCUGUGUGGAAUCUACAGACUCCCGUAGUGAACUUAUUUGUACUUACACACAGGAGUUAGAUGUCUUGUCACCAGAUAGAAAAAUUAGUUUGCUUCUCUUGGCCUCUAAUACUCCCUUUGUGAUUGUUGUAUCCUUUUCUAACUCUUGACAGCUCUUACUUGUCCAUUUUGAAGGAAGCAGAAGAUAAUAUUUCCACAGGAACUAACCUACAGUCUGAGGAGUCUGUCUCCUAGCUCUGUUAAGAUGAUAGCCACAGAGUAAACCAAUCCUUCCACUUCUCCCUGCUCUUGAUACUAUUUCUCUAUCCAAAGGAAGCUUUAAUUAGACCUCCCUGUUUUAACUACAUCAUGCACUGAAAUGAGGUCAUCGCUAUAAUCUGGUAAAUGAGGUUGAUCUGUGUGGUCCUCCAGCUGUGCAGAGAACUUUUCUUCAUGCGACUUUUCCUGUUCACUGUGAAAGGAAUUUUAUCUGACAUUUUUUCUAUCACUGUAACUUAUGAACACAUGGAAAGGGUCUGAUGUUGGCCUUCACCACAUUAAGCACAGAGAAGGUGUGUUGGACAAAAUCAUUGUGCAGGAUCCUCUGCCAGGGCCUUCAGUGGUGGAAAAUACAGCAUGAUUACUGGAACAAGCCAUGUCAGUUUCCUGCUGAGAAAUACUGGAUUGGCAAAAUAUGCCUGUAUAGGAAGCAGAGCCAUCUGGAAAUAUACAGGCCAGGUCACCCAAGACUCAUGCCUUCUCCCUGCUAUGGUCCUAGUUCUGUCGCAGGAGCCCUUUGGGGUGCAGAGGGUCAGUUUGUUUACUGAACUCCAUGGAGUCAUUCCAGAUUUAACAGUAGCGCAAACACAAUCAAACCUGGGCAAAAAUGCAUUCAAUAAGCUGCAAGAACCAGAAACAUGUUAGUUUUCAAUUCACUGACCUUCUUUGCAACCUUUAUGUAUAUUUACUGCCAUGUAAGUGUUCAUAAAGUAACACAAAUGACUGGCCAGGAUCACCUAGGAAGAAGAGUUAUAAAUCCUGAUGAAGGGUAGUGAUUACUGUCCUGGGUUCAGCUGGGAUAGUUAGUUUUCACAGGAAGCUGAGAGGGGGCACAGCCAGGACAGCUGGCCCAAAUUAGCCAAAAGGGUAUUUGAUACCAUAUGAUGUCAUGCUCAGUAUAUAGCUGGGUGAGCUGGUUGGGGCAGGGAAUCACUGCUUGGGGUACUGCUGCUUAGGAGUGGGCUAGGCAUCAGUUUUGUGAGUGGUUGCAUUGCAUAUCCCUUGCUUUUUAUAUUCUUUUAUUGUUGUUAUUAUUAUUGUUGUUGUUUAUCUCUUCUUCUGCUAAACAGUUAAGCUGUUUUUUAUCCCAUCCUACCAGUGAGAGAGGGGUAAACAAGUGGCCACGUGGUUCUAGUUGCCAGCUGGGGCUAAACUGUGACAACUACUUACUGGUGUUUAUUUCUGUUAUGUUAGUUAUGUAUUCUAUUACAUUUCUAAGCAAAUUCCUUUCUUGUUUAAAUAUUUAAAGAUCUCUUGCACAAGCAGACAUCAUGUUAUAUGUCUAUUCCUAUGGAAUCUUGUAACCCUCAAUUUAAUUAUUCAAAAAACCCCACAUCUUGUAGCUCAUUAUCAAUUUUCUACCUUCUAAACUUCCUCCAUUAUUACAGUGUUUUUUUCUGUUAAAGUAUUUUCUUGGACUAGAUUUAUCAUUCAAGGAGCAAUCUUAUAAGAAUGUACAACUGAGGGCUAUGGUGCCCUCAUACUUUGCUAAGUCAGGCCUUAACAUAUUUUCUUAUAGUCCCUCUGCUUCCAUGCAGUGUACAAUAGUGUAUUGAAAACACAUCUCACUUGGUGUUCACUAUCACUCCUUGGCCUCUUUUGGUGCUGUUUCCUUGUCUUCCGCAAUCCACUAUGUAUUUGUAUAUUUGUAUUUCAGUUUUUUUUUUGUUUUACAGCUGCCUUGCAUUAUUCUAAAUUCUCUCUUUCUUGAUAUUAUAGAUUAUAUUAUAAAUAUUAUAUUAUAUUAUUCUGUCCUGAAACUGUAUGCAGUCUCUCAUUUUUUUUUUCUGAGUCAUAUUCUAUGCCCUCAGUGGUCACUUUUGUCUUUUUAUUAUUGGCAUUAUCUAAAAAUUUCAAUAUUAUCCUAUUUUUUCUAUUUUUCACAUUAUAUAAAAUCACUCUUAGCCUUCAGUCCCUGCAUUUGUGUCACAACAUGUUGUCCCUGGAUCUCCAUAAUGUUUCUCAUGACACUGUGCAGAUUUCUAAAGAACAGACUACACAGUACAGGAUAAAAAAACCUGGUCGUUUGGACACCAGUCUCAAACUCGCAAAUUCUUUCAAGGGGUAAAGAGCAGAGCUGGAGAAAUGCUAAAACCAUAGAGCUUGCUGGGGGACAAGGACUGGCUGGAGUGCACGAGUGACAAGCUGGUUUGCUGUAAACCCUGAUUUGAUCCAGAGAGCAAGGAGCUUGCUUUUCCUUUUAUGCUCCCACUUUCCAAUUUCAUUGAUGAAAAGUUAUCUAACAGAGAGAGAAUCAAGCUGUAUUGCAUUCAGUGUGUACAGAGGAGAAACAAACCUGGUAAUGACUCAAUAUCUCCUGGGCUUGACUCCAAGAACAGUGAAAACUUGGGGUAAAGACCUUGGACCCCUCUGCAUGGGGAUAAACUCUGCCUGAAGAAAGGUACUCAGGAAGGACAGGAACUCUGGUGGAAACAGCCAAGAAGAAUGUGUAAAAUUUGCAUCGAGGAGGAUUGCUUGUAAAAUUCCUCACACUUUGUAUCCCUUCUGCAAUGGCACUGAUGAUGCUUUCUGAAGCUGCAAAAAACCAGAAACACAACAGAAGUGUGCUCUAAACCAGAAGUGAUGUACAGGUGUGAUACACCAGAUGUACUGAUAAGGUCAAUUAUUUUAAAAGGGAACUGAAGAGACUGUGCACGCAUGUGUCUGUGUGUGUGUGAGCACAAUGUAGCAGAUGUAUCUCAAUCCUCUACCUCCCUCCUGCUGUUGGAGGCUUGAAUUCUCCAUGGCUGGAUUCUGUAAGAGGCUGCCAAAUGGAAUGAUUACAAGAGGUGAAGAGCUGCUCUGAACACAACUCAGACUGCUCUUCAUUGUCCAAGUUGAAAGAAAUAUAAUAAAUACAGAGUGAAAAGUAAUUUGGGGUUCUGAAUUAUUUGGAUGCUCAGAACCCAUAGCAAUUCCGUAACAUUGGUAAAAAUUUUUGUGAACAACUCAAUGUUUAUAAUGUAAAUAUUUCCUUAUUAAAUGGCAUUGCCAAUAGAACAUUUCCAAAUGUAAGUAUAUUAAUUUAUGUAAAUGUAUUUGUUACUUUUAAAAUUAAACCCACUGAAUUUGUGUGAAAUACAGCAUAUAAGAUAAUUUUGAACCACUUUUGUGCUGAGCUAAAGGUCAGUAUUUUUCUGUACGUCUUUAUUUCUUGUUAGUUUACUGUUUUGUAACAAGACUGUAGAUUAGCAAUAUUGCUAUGCAGGAACUAGCUUAAAAAGAGAAAUAUCUAGAAAAUAUUUUCUUAAGGAAAAAGAUUUUUGUUCCUCAUAAGGCAGCAUAGAUGGGAGAACCAACCAAAUAACUAAGUCCAGUCACUUUCUAAUUUCUGCCUUGCUUAUUCAUUAACUCAUCGCCAUCUGAGAAGUGGAGAGCAAGCACGCCAGCCUGAGAGGCAAUCACCUGCUGCAAAAGGGCUCAGAGCUGUUACGUUUUUCAGAAGGAUUCUGAUGCACCGCUACCACCCUGUGUCCUGUGGUACCUUUACUGGAUUUCAGACACAGAGUCAGCAGUUCCCAUGCCCUCAGAGCCCACAGGUCCUGUGCCACCCUCCCUGUUCCUCCACUCUGCCAGAAGUGACUCAAGGUUGCUGGAUUUAACUAUUAGAAGACACAGCUUUAGUACCAUAUCCACCAGACUGACAACAAAAUAUACCCUGCUGCUACCUCCUCUGCUCAGGUCAAGUUUAUCAGUAAGCAUUUUAGUCAGUCCAGAUAUGGCCUCUUUACAGGAUUUUUCAGUGUCUGAAAGGCAAAUAUGUCCCUUAGUGUUUUUCCCAGUGUUUUUGUUUCAUCAACUAUUGGAUUUCCAGGCUGGCUUUCUACUUUGCAAACAAAAAAACCACCUCUUCUAUUUUUGCUUAUUAACUUCUGGAUUAGCAUUAACAUAACACUGGGCACAUCAUUUUCUGGCUUCCGCUUUUCAGUGUCUGACUUCUGUGAAUAUAUUUCUUCAGCUUCUUUUGGUGGAUCCUGACAUCUUUCUGCAAAUCUUUGGAAGGUAGGAUCGUGAGACCCCUGUAAUAACAACCCAAAGGCAGUGGGACCUGUUUUACUAGCAUUGCCACCUUCUGUUGCUUUUUGUUGGUAUUCUUCUGCUAGAUUAGAUGACACUGUAUGGGCAACAGUGCAGUCAAAAUCAAGUCCAUGACUCUGGUUACAUUUUGGCUACACCCUAAAUCCAGGGCAUGUUCUUUGGUGAUCUCGUUUCAGCUUCCUUUCCUGGUUAUGAUUUUGAGCAUUGGCUGUAUUGGUUUUGGUCUUCAUGCCAGAGGGUAAACCCUUGCUUAAUAAUGUGGUUACCCACAUCUGCACAGGUUGCUUCUUUUUCUUUUGGUAAUGUUUCAGUCCUUGUUGCUGUAAACUUUCAUUUUGAGUCUUUGCAUCUGUUCUGCAACCUGUCUUUGUGGAGGCAUAUGCUAGACAUUAUCUCCUCCCGGUUUUGCACUAAUUUCUGCAGCCUUUUGACUGCCUGAUGUGAACAGAGUCAGCUUCACUGAAGAAGCAAACUCUGAAUUAGUCAAGAGUUGGCCUGCUAUGUUAUGUAAGUUUUUCAUAGAGGAGUCUAUUAAGUCUGAAACCACGACCUUAGAGUGCUUCAGUAGCAUGUUUUUGGCAGAAUACAAGCUGUGUUUGAGUCAUUUGCCUGACAUUUCCUGGUCUUCAUCACUGAGACCAUUAUGACUGAAAUGAAAUUAUUUCUAUAAAUUAGUAUGUCUAUGCUUAAAUUAUCUGCAAAUUCAUCUUGGCCAAAAUGCGUGGUUUUUUUUUUUUUUUUGUGUGUGUGUGUUUGGGUUUUUUUUUUUUUUU